GAAAAGUAAAUUCACUUGGCUGUCCCACAUCUCUAAGGAACCUGAUGCAUGAGUGGAGUAGAGAAGAGGAAGAGAGAAAAACUCCAGAGACCUACAGAUCAUCUGGCUGGCAGGAACUGAGCAAUGAAAGAGACUCAAUGUGGUCUGAAUUGUGG
rnacentral:lncRNA from 1 species